ensembl:snRNA U6 U6 spliceosomal RNA
GUAUUUGCAUUGGCAGCACAUAUACUAAAAUUAAAAAAAAUAUAGAGAAGAUUAGCAUGGUCCUGUGCACAGAUGAUAUGUAAAUUCAUGAAGCAUUCCAUAUUUUU